UACGGAGGAUGCGAGCGUUAUCCGGAUUUAUUGGGUUUACAGGGUGCGUAGGCGGACUGUCAAGUCAGCGGUAAAAUUGAGAGGCUCAACCUCUUCCCGCCGUUGAAACUGGUGGUCUUGAGUGGAUGAGAAGUACGCGGAAUGCGUGGUGUAACGGUGAAAUGCAUAGAUAUCACGCAGAACUCCGAUUGCGAAGGCAGCGUACCGGCAUCCAACUGACGCUGAGGCACGAAAGCGUGGGGAUCAAACAGG
rnacentral:rRNA from 1 species